rnacentral:tRNA from 1 species
GCCGGAGUGGCGGAAUCUGGUAGACGCAAGGGACUUAAAAUCCCUCGGGGGGUAACUCCCGUGCCGGUUCAAUUCCGGCCUCCGGCA